rnacentral:rRNA from 1 species
UGGGGAAUAUUGCACAAUGGGCGAAGCCUGAUGCAGCAACGCCGCGUGAGUGAUGAAGGCCUUCGGGUUGUAAAGCCUGCUCUUUUGGGACGAUAAUGACGGUACCAAAGGAGGAAGCCACGGCUAACUACGUGCCAGCAGCCGCGGUAAUACGUAGGUGGCAAGCGUUGUCCGAUUGAUUCUGGGCGUAAAGGAUGCGUAGGCGGAUUUUUAAGUGAGAUGUGAAAUACCCGGGCUUAACUUGGGUGCUGCAUUUCAAACUGGGAAUCUAGAUGCGGGAGAGGAGAAUGGAAUUCCUAGUGUAGCGGUGAAAUGCGUAGAGUUAGGAAGAACACCAGUGGCGAAGGCGAUUCUCUGGACCGUAACUGACGCUGAGGCAUGAAAGCGUGGGUAGCAAACAGGAUUAGAUACCCUGGUAGUCCACGCCGUAAACGAUGAGUACUAGGUGUAGGAGGUAUCGACCCCUUCUGUGCCGCAGUUAACACAAUAAGUACUCCGCCUGGGAAGUACGAUCGCAAGAUUAAAAACUUAACGAAAUGG